rnacentral:lncRNA from 1 species
GCCAAGUCUAGAGGCAACAGAAACUGACAAGUGUCAAGAGGGUAAAGAAGCUGGCAGUUUAAUACUUGAAGAAACAUCUGAACCCCUAAUGAAUGAUAGUGGCCAGGGAGAGAGAGUGUGUGCCAUAGAAAACGGAGAUGCAGAUGAGCCUGAGGAAAGCAAGAUAGCUUCUGAAGAAUCCAAAAGCCGGAAUGCAGAAGCUGAAUUUGGGAAGAGCCAAACAGUGGAAACUCCAGAUCAAGUCCCAACAGAUAACGAUGAUCAUGCAGCUUCGGAAAAUCCGGGUCUGGAUGAAAUUGAGGAAACUAAAAUGUUAGCAAAUGAAGUUAAUGAAGUCAAAGAAGUCUCUGAUUCAGUUUAUGAGUCCAAAGAGCAGGUCACAGAAGAAGCUGAAGUUGAAGAAAGCCAAACAGUAGAAAAGCCAAAUCAAGUCCCACCUAAUCAUGGUGAUAAUGAUGAUGCAGAGAGACAGCGUGCAACUUUGGAAAAUACAGGUUCAGAUGAAGCUGAGGAAACCAAAAUAGUCUCCAAUGCUGUUGAUGAAACCAAGGAUCAGGUUUCUAAAGAGACUGCUGAAAAUGGGACAAGCUCAACUGUGGAAAAGAUGGACCACCCCCAAUCUAGUAAUUUUGA